GCCAGCAUGGUGUAGUGGUUAGAUCGUUGGGCUCUAAUCCUGUAAAUCAGAGUUUAAAUCUCUGUUCAGCCU